AUCAAAUAAAAAAAAAAAAAAAGGGAAAAUUGUAAUAGCAGUCAGGCAAACCUCAAUUGGCGAUGGUCUCAUGGAGACCAUGAGAAAGUUCUCAUCUUUGGCAUCUAGGGCGUCACUUGCAAUUCCAAACCUUCGAAUUCACAAGCAGAAACAACUUCAAAAUUCGAAACCCUCAAUUUUCAGCUCUUUGAUCAAUCUUGGUCAAAAAGCCAGAAAUAUCUACAUAUUUGAUACAGCUUUCUGAAUUGGACGAGAAGUUGUGAAGGAAAGGUCACUCUCUGUCCAUGGUUGGUGAGGGCAGUCAUUCUUAUGGAGAGACACUUGAAUUGGUGAAAAGGAGCAGUCGGGAAUCCAACUCAAGAAUGAGACUCAAGUCUCGUUAGAUGGUUUAAUGCAGAUAGUGGAGCGAAAAGUUGUUCAGGUGCAAUACUAUCAGUCAGCAUACAGGAAUUCAAUCAUGGAGGACGGGUGCGGAUAAUGGCUUCAGUUUUGAAUUGAGUCAGUAUAAAAAUUGUGUGUCACCUUUGGGGUUAGAUUGUCCACUGUGACACCACUCUGUGAAGAAUCGUGUAAUGAUAGUUAAUUGUUUCUUUAAUCUUGAUGACAUUUAGAAAAAUGAAAUUAA